GAUGAAGAACGCAGCGAAAUGCGAUAAGUAGUGUGAAUUGCAGAAUUCAGUGAAUCAUCGAAUCUUUGAACGCACAUUGCGCCCUUUGGUAUUCCAAAGGGCAUGCCUGUUCGAGCGUCAUUUGUACCCUCAAGCUUUGCUUGGUGUUGGGCGUCUUGUCUCUAGCUUUGCUGGAGACUCGCCUUAAAGUAAUUGGCAGCCGGCCUACUGGUUUCGGAGCGCAGCACAAGUCGCACUCUCUAUCAGCAAAGGUCUAGCAUCCAUUAAGCCUUUUUUUCAACUUUUGACCUCGGAUCAGGUAGGGAUACCCACUGAACUUAAGCAUAUCAAUAAGCGGAGGA
rnacentral:misc_RNA from 1 species